rnacentral:rRNA from 1 species
UACGAAGGGGGCUAGCGUUGCUCGGAAUCACUGGGCGUAAAGCGCACGUAGGCGGACUCUUAAGUCGGUGGUGAAAUCCUGGAGCUCAACUCCAGAACUGCCUUCGAUACUGAGAGUCUCGAGUCCGAGAGAGGUGAGUGGAACUGCGAGUGUAGAGGUGAAAUUCGUAGAUAUUCGCAAGAACACCAGUGGCGAAGGCGGCUCACUGGCCCGGUACUGACGCUGAGGUGCGAAAGCGUGGGGAGCAAACAGG